GUUUCACCGUGUUAGCCAGGAUGGUCUCGAUCUCCCGACCUCAUAAUCCGCCUGCCUCGGCCUCCCAAAGUGCUGGGAUUACAAGCGUGAGCCACCGCGCCGUGCCUGGAAAUGAAUUUUUUACACACCAAGUGAAAAUAAGUGGUAUACAUUUUCACAGGAAAUUUUCCCACAAUAAAAUUUCUAGAUGGAAGUUCAAGUCCUUGUGCCUGAGCUCCUUAGAUUAAAAAGCAUAGCAGUUAUUUAACACUCUUUUAAAAAAGAAAGUAUGAAGACAUGGUGAAACUAUUUUGCUUAUCACAUUGACAUUCCUUUGAGAAGAAAGAAAGAAAAUGACAUGUGGUUGGGAAUUCUUCAGUUUAGCCCUAUAGAGAUUUUUAAAAAUGUUUUAACUUUCAAAGGCGCUUUUAUAGAGCUAUAAAAUUGCCUGUCUCCUCUCCAGGCUAUGCUGUACACAAAUGCAAUUCUAAUUUUUAUCGAAUGCUACUUUGAUCAUUCAGCUGCUUGAUCAAAAUCAAUAAUGACUUAUGGUGUUUCAGAUCAUGUCUAUACUUUUCAAGACCCUUAAUAAUCUGCCUCCAUCCUACCUAUCCUACAUUCUAUUUCACAUUUCCCUAUAAUAAUCUUUGUUAUUACCUUACUGCCUUUCUCUGUCCCUGUCAACUGCAACACAUAAGGGUUUGUAUAUAAAACAUGCACACACACACACACACAUACACACACACACACACAUUUCAUGCAUAUUCUGGCCUUGGGACUUUUACUUAUGCGUUUUUCCUUUUCUGAUGUCUACGUAUGUAUAGUUUUUCUCUUAGCAACAUCUAAACUUCUUUAAAAGUCACCACAAAUUCUACUUUCUUCCAAGAAGCUCCCCGAUGACCGUAACCUACAUUAUCCAUCCACUUUUUUUUUUUUUUUUUUGGUAGGGUCUUGCUCUGUUUCCCAGGCUAGAGUGCAGUGGUAUGAUCACAGCUCACUGCAGCCUUGGCCUCCUGGGCUCAAGCAAUCCUCCCACUUCAGCCUCCCAAGUAGCUGGAACCACAGGCUCAUGCCAACAUGCCCAGCUAAUUUUUAUUUAUUUAUUUUUUCAUUUAUUUUGUAGAGAUAAGAUCUUGCUGUGUUGC
rnacentral:lncRNA from 1 species